rnacentral:misc_RNA from 1 species
AAGUCGUAACAAGGUUUCCGUAUGGUGAACCUUGCCGGAACGGAUUCAUUAAAGAAGUUCGGCUUCGCGGCCAAGUUCGGUCACCCUUUGUAGUAUCCGUAAACUAUGGUUUGCUUUGGCAGGCCCCUGCAUUUCUCGGGCCUGCCAGAGGUUAUUAACCCAUAGGAAUCUCUGCUGUCUGAGUAGCUAUGCAAUAGUUAAAA